GCAACUCGACUGCAUGAAGCCGGAAUCGCUAGUAAUCGCGAAUCAGAAUGUCGCGGUGAAUACGUUCCCGGGUCUUGUACACACCGCCCGUCACACCAUGGGAGUCAGCAACGCCCGAAGUCAGUGACCUAACCGAAAGGGAGGAGCUGCCGAAGGCGGGGCCGGUAACUGGGGUGAAGUCGUAACAAGGUAGC
rnacentral:rRNA from 1 species